CUCGACAUAGCUCAGCCCGGUAGAGCGACAGACUGUAGUGGCAACCGUAGUCAUCUGUUGGUCCUUGGUUCGAAUCCGAGUGUCGAGA
rfam:Ectocarpus siliculosus strain Ec 32, whole genome shotgun sequence assembly, chromosome LG13